CCCUUAGAUGUUCUGGGCCGCACGCGCGCUACACUGACGAAUGCAACGAGCUUAUAACCUUGGCCGAAAGGUCUGGGUAAUCUCCAAAUUUCGUCGUGAUGGGGAUAGAUUAUUGCAAUUAUUAAUCUUCAACGAGGAAUGCCUAGUAAGCGCAAGUCAUCAGCUUGCGUUGAUUACGUCCCUGCCCUUUGUACACACCGCCCGUCGCUCCUACCGAUUGAAUGGUCCGGUGAAGCGUUCGGACCGUGGCCUUUGGACGGUUCGCCGUCUGUUGGCUGCGGGAAGUUCGUUAAACCUUAUCAUUUAGAGGAAGAAGAAGUCGUAACA
rnacentral:rRNA from 1 species